GCCCACUAGCUAGCCCCACCUCCCCCUGAAACAAAUAAACAUUACUAACCCAUAAAUAUACGUCAUACAUUUAAUUAAACCAUUUUUUCCCUUAGUAUAGGCGAUAGAAAAGGAACAAAGGGAGCAAUAGAGAAAGUACCGCAAGGGAACGCUGAAAGAGAUAUGAAACAGACCAGUAAAGCCAAAAAAAGCAGAGA
rnacentral:rRNA from 1 species